UACAGAGGGGGCAAGCGUUAUUCGGAAUUAUUGGGCGUAAAGGGCGCGUAGGCGGUUUUUUAAGUCGGAUGUGCAAUCCCCAGGCUCAACCUGGGAACUGCAUCCGAGACUGGAAGGCUAGAGUACUGGAGAGGGUGGUGGAAUUCCUCGUGUAGCGGUGAAAUGCGUAGAUAUCUGGAGGAACACCGGUGGCGAAGGCGGCUUCCUGGACCGACACUGACGCUGAGGCGCGAAAGCCAGGGGAGCAAACGGG
rnacentral:rRNA from 1 species